rnacentral:snRNA from 1 species
AUCGCUUCUCGGUCUUUUGGCUAAGAUCAAGUGUAGUAUCUGUUCUUAUCAGUUUAACACUAAGUCUGUAAACAUCUGAAAAGUGCAUUAAAUAUUUUAGUAAAGGCAAUAUAUACAUAAAGUGGUACACUAUUAAUCUCAUGGAUCAUUCAAGAUCAUCUAGAAAUUGGAUCCAU